GGGCUUCUCUUUCUUGGCAGG
rnacentral:miRNA from 1 species